CAAGUCGCACGAGAAAGGGGACUUCGGCCCUGAGUAGAGUGGCAGACGGGUGAGUAACACGUGGGUAACCUGCCCCCGAUGGGGAAUAACCCAGGGAAACUUGGGCUAAUACCGCAUAACAUCGCUUUUUCCUUGGAGAGGGCGAUUAAAGGUGGGGAUCGAAAGACCUACCGCUUAGGGAGGGGCCCGCGUCUGAUUAGCUUGUUGGUGGGGUAAUGGCCUACCAAGGCUUCGAUCAGUAGCCGGCCUGAGAGGGUGAUCGGCCACACUGGAACUGAGACACGGUCCAGACUCC
rnacentral:rRNA from 1 species